rnacentral:rRNA from 1 species
UAGGGGAUAUUGCACAAUGGGCGGAAGCCUGAUGCAGCAACGCCGCGUGAGUGAUGAAGGCCCUCGGGUCGUAAAACUCUUUUCAAGAGGAAGAGGAAGGACGGUACUCUUGGAAUAAGCCUCGGCUAACUACGUGCCAGCAGCCGCGGUAACACGUAGGAGGCGAGCGUUAUUCGGAUUUACUGGGCGUAAAGCGCGUGUAGGCGGCUGAUCAAGUUGGAUGUGAAAGCUCCCGGCUUAACUGGGAGAGGACGUUCAAAACGGAACAGGUGGAGGAUGAGAGAAGAAAAUGGAAUUCCGGGUGUAGUGGUGAAAUGCGUAGAUAUCCGGAGGAACACCAGGGGAGAAGGCGAGUUUCUGGCUCAAGACUGACGCUCAGACGCGAAAGCUAGGGUAGCA